GGUUUUUUAAACCUCAUGUCUGCCUGGGUUGGAUCCGCUGAAUCCAUCACCCUUUUCUUUAGUUCCUUGUGCACACCAUAAAUCCCAGAGGCUCUGGUCCUCAGGACUGCUCCUGCUAAUUAGGAGCCAGGAACCCACUAGCACAGGCUCCAGAAGACUCUGGAAGCAAGCUCCCUCUCCCUCAACCCACAGCGACACCGAGCCCCGGCCAGGGAAAGGUCUUCCUCUAGCAUCAGAUCCCCUGCACCGUAACCUCCGUGAUUCCGGACAAGCUCACAGAAGCACAUUCCUGUGAUUAAAAGACCCUGUGCACCAUCAGUGGCUUUGAAGUUUCUGAGAGAGAUCUCAGCUCCAAAAUGUCAUCAGAGAAGUCUGUUCACAGGGAUUUGGGGGCACACACUGGAGGCUGGAAUCUAUUCCUUCAAUUCUGCGUGUUCUCCUUGGGACCUUGGCAACACGACUGCUUCACCCAGCAGCCAGGUCUCCCCAAGAAAUCCCUCCUGAGACCCACACUGAAUUCCCAGCUGCCUGUUGGGCGUCUU
rnacentral:lncRNA from 1 species